UGAGGGCUUCGUUUUCCUCAGUGAGGUGGAA
rnacentral:piRNA from 1 species